AAAAAAGAUAUAAAAAUGUGCGUCGUUUUUUGCGAUAAAUUGAUCUUCCAAGAAUUGUACUAAACAUUGUAUCAAAUACGUACUAUAGUUUGGAUAUUUUACACGUGCCUUUCCAUGUCACACAUACUCUAUGCAUUUAUACUAUACUUAUAAUUUCUCGUAAAUGCUUAGACAUCUACAGUUUAAUUGUCGCCAAACAUUACGCGAAAAGAGCGCGAGAGACAUCUGUAGCGUGUCCUAUAACCUAGUUUCCAUGAAAGCACGUUACCACUCAUUGUAAACUGUGAAAGCUUCGCUGCUACAGCAAUGGACUGUUGGAGGGAAACGAUUCAUCUUGAUCGACAGCCAGGUUUGUUCGCGAUUCCACGGCCACUUAUGGGAGCCGAGAGAUGAACGAUCCCCCGUAUGUAGCCGAAAUCGAUAGAAAAGUAGAAAACCAGCGCAUAACGAUGGGAUGGUUGGCGACUGCAUUACUAUUUCCGACCACGGGGUUCGAAUGAAAGCCCGGUUGAUGAAUAAUACAUGAUACGGGAUAGAUGCGUUGCCACGGACCGAACUUUGUGAGUGGUGAACUGUCGCCGAUGGGAUCAUGGAAAAGGAGCUAUAUUUAAUUUAGCACUCCGACGAUAACACGUUGAACAUACGUAGCAGCCUACUCCGGCCAAUUUUUAUGCCCGAUAACUUGCGACCGACAUAUUGUCCGAGAAACUCUACGGCGAUAUCUUCAUUUUUAAAAGUCGAGGUUUCCAUUUUUCGGUGAAAGGAUGAUGCGGGGUUGUUCCGGAUCUACCGGACAAUAGGUUUAACAGAACGCUCUUCAGUUUUCCUCUUGCUCCUUCUUCUUUGCUUCCUUCCUUCUUUCACUGUGCACGAAACGGAGCGUGCAUACAGGGCAAUUCAAAAAAAGAGAAACGAUCUUGACGCGUGCAGAGCUAUUAUUACUCGGAUUGAAAAGAUAGAAAUCAAGACGGUUUUACAUUGUAAAUGACAAACAUACAGAGAGAAAGAUCAAGACAGAGAAAAUCGAUUUCACGGGUAUCGAAAUUCUAUAAUAUCGGGCAAUGAAUUUUGAAUGCUGUUGUACGAAUCUAGGCUGUAAUAGAAGAUAUUUGAUAAAUCGUGGCACGAGAAAACAAAAAUUGAAUAUUGUACAUUAUCAGUGCGCCACGGAGAAGAAGCCGUUUCGACUGAUACACAGUUUACAAUUGAGUGGAACGUGUAUUAUGUACGGCUCACGAACGGGGAAGCGAGUCUCUCGAGGGCCGUCUUCGUGAGGAGCGACCGGUGCCGGUUUAUUCCCGAUCAAAUGUUUUUGUCCGACCGUCGCAAACCUAAUUGGAUUCGCUACGAACCACCCGACGGUCAUACUCGGCGGAGCAUUACGCAAAACCAUGUACCAUCUUCGGCUUUUUAAACCUCGAUUCGCUCGACGGUCGGUCCGUUCCGAGCUGCAACAAAGGGGUUCGUCUCGUCGUGCUUGCAAAAUCGAGUCAGCUGUUAGUUACGCUUGUUAAUUGCAGCGAACAAAUUGUAUCAAAAGUUCUUGAUUUUUCUGUACAAUUAUUUUACAGCAACGAUGAAAAUAGGAAAUCUUCGUGGAAGCAAAGCCGGAUGAUUUUUCUAUUCUGGACACAAACGCAUACGACUUCGGAUCUUACAUGAACACACGGCUCCUCCGGCAGGCAGUCAGGCGCUAACAUCGAUGCAUGUAGCUGACAGCAGCGGCCAGAUCGUGCUACGUUUCUGCGUCGUCGGUCCGCCUUCUUCUUUCGUCCUUUUCCAUCGUGCUCUCUUCUCACUAGGGCAAGUACCGUAGAAAGACGUGUAUUUCUUUCUACGGAGCGGGGAAUAUCGAAAUAUGGAAUUAGCAAGCAGAAAAGGAACCGAUUGAAAGUGGGAAAACUCUGAAAGGACAGGGUAGGGGAGUUGGAUAAAAUAAAUAAAACGGAACAGGGGACGAAGAUACGUAGGAAAGAGACGGAAAAAGGAAAUGUUGGCGAAGGAGAGGAUGGAAGAGAGAGAGAGAGAGAGAGAGAGGAGGCACAAGUAGAAAAAAGGAAGAGAGAAGGACUCUCGAGAGAUCAAGUUAGAGUACCGGCACAAAAAACCUGUCCCGCAUAAUUACAUUAUCGGUCACAUCUCGUUCGACUUCUGUCCGUACAGCCUUUGCCUGGGAGACUGAAUGCGUUCUCAUACAAUACAGGCCACUGCUGCUUCGAGGACGAUGUAACAAGGUCUCUGAGGAAACCGUAGGGGGUCCGAGUCAUUGCUUCUUCAUCCCAUCUUUCGCCGAUCUUUAGUAGAAAGCAUCGAACAUUCUGACAAAUUGAAUAGAACAGCAUUAUUGCUUUGGCCUGUUCCAUCUCCUUUUUUUUUUUUCUUCGCUGAAAAAUGCUGGUUCGGAUGGUGGGAAACGAGACGAGAAUUCGGUAGUCAAAGAAUGAUCAAUGGCCCUAGAUUCACAUCUGUGUUGGUUGUUUCAAGAUUUUGAUUUAUUUACUUAUUAUUCGUAAUUUAUUCUUUUCUUCAUUGACAUGGGAGAUGUUACACAGGCAUUGGAAUGCGCGUUAUCAUUAGUCGCUGGUGAAUAGUCGAAUACAAGGCGGAAUCGCUUUCAAAUUUUACAUAACAUUUUCAACGUAAUAUGUGAUACAUAUCUCUGUUGCACUACGAGGAGAUGAAAGAACCUUUAACCAGAUUGCUAAACUCUGAAAAUUCUACUCCGUAGAAAAAAUAUUGAAACGGUGACACACCGUUGGAAGAAUGCAUAAUAACGUAUAUAUGUACUCUUUGAAAAUAUACAUUUUUAUGCAUCUUUCCAUCGGAAAACGCAUUGGUGUCUUAAUAGUAAUGAGAUAAUGUACAAUCAAAAAUUAGCACGAUAGACCCGCACAUAUUCGAACGAACGUAUCCUCUCUGUUUUUUUUUUUUUACUUUUAUCGUAAUUUUAUAAGUAUAACAUGUGCUGUCAUGUCGUUGUAAAAUGAACACGGUUUUGUAGAAAGUCUUGUAUAUAUCUUUUUUUUUCUUUCUUUUAAAUAUAAAUCUGUGCUCACUACGCUAAUACGGUGUUUCUUCGACGGUACAAAUAAAAUUGUUAUAAUAUAAUCA